CAAAGAAACUGGAGAAGAUCAGUAAGCUGAAAGGCUGUGAAAAGCUCCAGAAGUGGAUGAGAAGCAUCAAGAACCACAUACACUGGACUGCAGCUUCCUCAGCCACUGGGCCAGAGAGUGGCAAAGUGGACCUCAAUCAUCAACCAUAUACAAGACAUCCAUACACAUGAAGAUCCUCAUUUCCCCCAGUGUCAACACCCACUGCACCAGACAAGGGAGGAGGAAAUGGCUUUCAGCAGGAACUCCUGCCUUAAACAAGCUGAAGAAGUUGCUGAUGAACAAAAGGACUCUAAAGGAUGUGGCAAAACUGAGCCCCCACCACCAGACUUCAUCUGCGGAGGCUUUCCACAGCGUCAUCCUUCAUUUUGCCCAAAAGAAUGUUGUCUUUCCAUGAUUUUUGACUCUUUAUGGUAUCUCCAGACUCUACCUGGCUGCCAUGUACUAUAAUGAAAACGCUGACCGACCACAAGGCCAAAGCAACAAAGGCGAACCACUCUUCAAGGUCCAUUUCCCAAAAGCCAUGGAGGGAGAAUGCAGGGCUAAGCCAGUUAAGACUGAACCAACAUUCAGAUAUGUGGCUGACAUGGUGGACCUCAUAUUUGAAAAAGUCUUUGUUGACCCGACACAGUACACAGAUGCUGUUUUGGCCAUCCCCAUUCCAGAGGACCUCAUUGCACAGUUGGAGCAGCCUGACAAGGAGGAGGCCAUUGCCAGCUAUGUGACUCGGUUCAAUCGAGGGGCGGUCUGAAACCUGUGUAGUGGCUUUGGGCGUCAGGAAACUCCGUGCGGAUGUGUAGGACCACACAGGCCGGGAUGACUACCCGGAUUCUGUGACCAAGGAAGCCCCAGCACCAGCUCCCAAAACUCCCUGUGGGCUAGAUGAUCCUUUAACUUUGAAAAUGUAUGU